rnacentral:rRNA from 1 species
GGAGGAAAAGAAACUAACUAGGAUUCCCUUAGUAACGGCGAGUGAACCGGGAUGAGCUCAAAUUUGAAAUCUGGCGUCUUUCAGGCGUCCGAGUUGUAAUCUAUAGAGGCGUUUUCCGCGCCGGACCGCGUCCAAGUCUCUUGGAAUAGAGUAUCAAAGAGGGUGACAAUCCCGUACUUGACGCGACAACCGGUGCUCUGUGAUACGUUCUCAAUGAGUCGAGUUGUUUGGGAAUGCAGCUCUAAAUGGGUGGUAAAUUCCAUCUAAGGCUAAAUAUUGGCGAGAGACCGAUAGCGAACAAGUACCGUGAGGGAAAGAUGAAAAGCACUUUGGAAAGAGAGUUAAACAGCACGUGAAAUUGUUAAAAGGGAAACGAUUGAAGUCAGUCGUGUGGGAAGUAUUCAGCCGUCUCUGGCGGUGUAUUUGCUUCUCACGGGUCAACAUCAGUUUGAUCCGGUAGAAAAAGGCGGGAAGAAGGUGGCAUCCUCGGGUGUGUUAUAGCUUCCUGUCAUAUGUGCCGGACCAGACUGAGGAACGCAGCUUGCAGCAAUGCCGGGGUUCGCCCACGUACAAGCUUAGGAUGUUGACAUAAUGGCUUUAAACGACCCGUC